UACGUAGGGUCCGAGCGUUGUCCGGAAUUAUUUGGGCGUAAAGAGCUCGUAGGCGGUUUGUCGCGUCUGCUGUGAAAACUGGAGGCUCAACCUCCAGCCUGCAGUGGGGUACGGGGCAAACUAGAGUGCGGGUAGGGGAGAUUGGAAUUCCUGGUGUAGCGGUGGAAUGCGCAGAUAUCUGGAGGAACACCGGGUGGCGAAGGCGGCGUUCUGGGCUGCAACUGACACUGAGGAAACGAAAGCCAGGGGAGCAAACGGG
rnacentral:rRNA from 1 species